UCCUCCAAUGGGAGUCUGGAGCCGUCGGUAGCGGUGGAGGCCUGCGACCCCGCUAGCGCUCCAGCAAGCGGGAGGGACGCGUCCAGUCUAUUCGCGAGAUCCAGCUGCCGGUCCCUGGAGUCUAUUCGUGCGAGGCAGCGGCUGCACCGACGGCCCGAGGUUCCCGGUCAGCGGGUUGCGGAGUAUCGUGCGGGUAGCAAGGGGAGGGCGAGUGCUCCUGCGGCCCCCAGACGGCAACCAGAACAUGCAUCAUUGUUAGAACCAUCACCCUGCAGCUAGCUUGGACACCAUUAAAAGGGCUCAUCAGCUGCAAAUGGAUAGAAGUAUCUGAUAUUCGUGAAGACAGAGUUUCAGGGCUUCUGCCUGGAGCUACACUCUCCAAAAGCCCCUGCUUGGCCUCCCUGCACCCAACCCCACCCCAUCCAGUCACAACUUGGGUCGUGUGGUGUUUCUUGGCAACUGGAACACAGACUCCUCCAGCAGCUCCGCAGGCCCCUUGUCCUCAGUGAGCAGAAGACUACAGAAGCUGGCUACUGAAGAGACUGUCCGAGUCUUAGAGCUCCUCUUCGGCCCUGCUUAGCACAUUUACCACAGAGCAGUAACUGAGUGCUGGAUGUUACUCAUUCGUGCUCACCACCUGCAGGGACUGCAGAGGGAUUUGUCAGACCCCAUUUCACUAAGGGCCACCCUCUAAGGAUCUCCACAGGAGGCUGCCCAUAGAGAGAAGUGGCCUGCCUAGGGUCUCCACUGCCUUAAGGCCUACGUGGACACUUCCAGGCCUAAGGGGAUUAAUAUUUCUUCACCUACCUGUCAUCCACAUAUCAACUGGAAAAUUCUCCCUCCUGUUGUUUUUUGUUCUUUUGUUUGUUUUUUGGUAGGAAGAGUUUUAACUACUGCUUCAAUUCCUUUAGUAGUUAGAGGACUAGUCAGCAUUUCUUUUUCUUCUUGAGUCAGUUUUGGUAAGUUAUAGUUUUCUAGGAAUUGGUCCAUUUUGUCUGCUUUCUCAAGUUUAUUGGCAUAAAGUUUCCUUAUUUUUUUAUUCUCUGCUGUAUACAAUCUGUAGUUAUGUCUCCUUUUUCAUUGCUGAUAUUGGUUAUUUGUGCCUUCUCACUUUUUUUCUUGAUCAAUCUCACCAGAGGUUUGUCUAUUUUACUAGUCUUUUCAAAGAACCAACUUCUGGCUUUGUUGCUCCUCUCUAUUUUGUCUUUGUUUUCUAUUUCUUUAAUUUCUGCUCUUAUUUUUUUUGAUCUCCUUCCUUCCACAUUUUUUGGAUUUAUUUUGUUGUUAUUUUUCUAAUUUCUGAAAUUGGACACCAACCUUAUUAAUUUUCAGUCUUUCUUGUUUUCUACUUCGCGCAUUUAAGGACGUAACUUUCCCUCUAACUACUGCUUUUCUACAAGUUCAGACAUGUCAUAUUUUGUUACUGUUCAGUUCCAAGUAUUUCAGCAUUUCCAUCAUGGUUACUUCUUUGACCUAUGAGUUAUAUAGAAGUGUGUUUCUAAAUGUGUGGAGAUUUUAAAGUUUAUCUUUAUGUUAUUGAACUCUAGCUUUAAUUGCAUUAUGGUCAGAGGAUGUGAUCUGUGUGAUAACAAUUCUGAAAUUUAUUGAGACUUGUUUUAUAGCUUAAUAGGUGAUCAGUAUUUUUGAAUGUUUCCUAUGUGAUUUAUAAGAAUGUAUGUUCUCUAACUGUUGAAUACAGAGUUCCACAUAAGUCUGUUAUCAAAUUUGUUAAUCGUAUUGUUCACAUUUUCUAUAUCUAAACUGAUUUUUUUGGUUGUAAUAUACCAAUAAUUAUAAGGUAUGUUAAUAUGCAAUUAUGAUGGUGGAUUUGUCUAUUUCUCCUUGUAGUUCUUUUUUUUCCUUUUACUUAUUUUGAGGGUAUUUUAUUAGGAAUAUUCAAAAUGAGAAUUGUUACAUAUUCCUGGUAAACAUGUAAUGACCCUCUCUAUUCCUGAUAAUGCAUUUUUUUCCUUGAAGUCUAUUUUAUCUUACAUUAAUAUAGCAACACAAACUUUUCUUCUUCUUAGGAUUUGUGUGGUAUAUAAUUUUCCAUCCUUUUACUUUUCAACGUUUUCAUGCCUUUAUGCUUUAAUUAUAUCUCUUGGAAAUGGCAUAUAGCUGCACCUUUUAAAACAUCUAAUAUAAUGAUCUCUGUCUUUUAAUGGUCAAGUUUAGUCUGUUUACACUUAUUGUGAUAUAUUUGGACUUGUUUCUACCAUCAUACUUUCUUAUUUCUAUUUCCUACCACCACCUUUUCGAUGCUUCAUUUUUCUCUUUUUUUGCCUGCUUUUUAGUUUUGAAAUUUGUUUGUUUGCUUUCUUAAUCAUUUUUUUUUCCUCCCUACUGUUUGGAAUUUACCUAUUCUUUUUCCUUUCUUUCUGUGGUUAUCCUUGAAAUUUUACCAUGCAUGUUUAACUUACAAGGUUUAAAGUUAAACAGUAUUUUAACCUCCCUCUUGAAGAAUGCAGGAACCUUAGAAACCUUCAACUCUAGUCAUUCCUAUCUUGACCACAUGUUAUUUUUUUGAGUGUGUUAGUUUGUUCCUUUUUCCCCUGACCUCACUAAUAUAUCAUCAUUAGUAUUAUUUUAUAUAGAUGGUAUGUGUUUGGAUUUACAUACAUACAUUCUUGCAUCUCAGAACAUCAUUCUGGGAUCAUUUUCCUUCAUUAUGAUUACGAUAUUUAGAUACUCUUUUAGUACAUAUCUGUUGGUGUUAAAUUCUCCUAGUCUUUGUUAUAUGUAAAUGUAUAUAUUCUCAUUCUUAAAAGGUAGAUUGUUAUAGGUAAUAUUAGAAGUCCACUAUCAGUCUAAUUGCUGUUUUUUGUAGGUGUUUUUGUUUUCUUAUAUUCUGGCUACUUUUCUCUCUCCCUCUUUUUUGGAGGGGAGGGGUAUAUUCAGGGGGUUCUGCAGUUUCAUUCUAUCAAUGUUUAGGUAUGUAUUUCUUUUUUAUUAUUCUACUUUGGAAAUGUGCUUCAUGCCUCCGGAUUCAUGUUUUUCAUAAUUUCUGGAAAAUUCUCAGCCAUUAUCUCUUCAAAUAUUGCCUUUCUUCCAUUCUUUCUGUAUUUUCUUUCUCAGAAUUCAGUUGGUCAUAUUUUGGACCUCCUCAUUCUGUCUUCCACAUCUCGUAACAUUUCAUUGAUAUUUUCUAUCUUCUUGUCUUCCUGCACUUCAUUCUAGGCAAUUUCUUCAGAUAUAUCUUUCAGCUUAUUGAUUCUCUCUUCAGCUUUGUCUGAUCUACUGUUUAAUCUGUCCACCGAGUUUUUUUAUUUCAAGAAUUGUAUUUUUCAUUUGUACAAACUUCAUAUAUUUCACUUUCUAAUCUUCCUAGUCAUCCCUAAUAGUCUCUUGUUGCUUGCUCAUCUUUGUGGUUGCAUUUAUUAUUUCUUUAAACAUGUUAUACAAUUUUUGUUCAGCCAAUAAUCACUGUUUGUCUAAGUAUGGCAUUGUAAAUAUUGUUCACAUCCAAACAACAUAGUACAGUCUGAUUACAUAUCCUCUGUUGUAUACCUUUUUGUUUUCCUAGUAAUUGUCUGGGGUUUUUUUUCUUUUGCCUGGUGUUCUAAUACCAUUACUAGUUCUUCUCUGAAAUUCUUUUUUUUUUAAUUUUUUAAUAUUUUGGCUGCGCCACAUGGCAUGUGGGAUCUUAGU